AUAACCCAAUGAUGUAAGUCCUAUGAAGGGUCCAUUUGUUCAAUGAUUAAAGUCCAAUGUGAUCUGCGUUCAGACCAGAAUAAUCCAGGUGUCCUCUUCAUGAUCAGUUCACGCUUAGUCCUUUGGCUUUAGGAUAUGACACAAUCACAUCAAAGCAAGGAAGAGCCAGAACCAACCCAGAGACCCUGAGUAACAGCCAAGGAGAAAAGAAAUGAGCUAUCAAGCCAUGAAGAGAGAUGAAGGAAUCCUGAGUGCAUAUUGUGAAGGGACUGGAGACAAUCUGAAAAGACUAUGUACUAUAUGAUCCUAACUCUGACAAUCUAGAAAAGACAGAGCUGGUGCAAUGAAAGAAGAAGUCCACGUUCCAACAUAAAAAAUAAACAUGCUAUCACUGUGACAGGGACUGAUUCAAUAUGGGAACAUGGACUGCAGAGGCAUUCUGGCUUACUUCAAAAGACUUUCAAUAACUGCCAAAAGAGUUUAUUUGGAUAGUUUGUUUCAUGUGUUUAAUCAACUAAAAACUCAAUCCAGAGUUGAGAGUGUGACACAACAUGUG